GUGCUCCUCUAGCUGGCGCUCGAAGGGGGAGAGAACGCUUCACACAACACAGUUCGCCGGCUGCACGCCGCGCGCGUCAUGGCCCCUCGGCUGCAAAGUGCUAGCUACCCUUUCCUUCCCCUACGCGGCUCCUCUCCUGCCCUACAGCUUCCACCGCUACACCUCGGCGAAGAUCAUGUUGCGUUCCGGGACUUAGGCUGGCGCAGGGAAUCCAUUGCCGCCGCUGCCGCCGCAUGCUGCCAACCAAUACACAGGUUUCACAGGGACUUGAAAUAUGGUGACAUGGUAGCCCCUAUAGAGGGAAUUAACUGUCAAAUUUCAGAAUGAAUUAGUCCAAAGGAAGAAAAAAUUCUCUCUACACCUGUAGAAGAGGCUACUGCUGUUAAGAACUGGAUCCUUCUUGUUCAGAUCUACUACAUCUCCCCCAAUUCUCUACUCAUUGACCUUCUCCAUCUUUGCAUUUAGAGGGAAGCAAGGCCUUAAGAGAGAGACAGAGAGAGAGAGUUCACUUCAUGUAGCCACCUGCAGAACAGGACUGAUCGCAUCUCUUUAAACUGCUGUUAACAUAUCCAUACAAUAUAAUUAGAAGUUGUAUAAUUAGUAUUCAUGAUAAUGACUUUGACCUAGGCUCUUUUUUUACUAAUUGUUUCAAGAAAAUUUUGAAAUCUGAUUUAAAUUUUUAAAAAUUCAAUUUAAAUUUUAAAAAUUGAUGUUUUGUUUUUUUAAAAAAUCAGUUUUUAUCUACUCUGAUUUUCUCUCACAAGCACAUUGUUAUCAAAUGAAAGUGUAAGCUUAUAUUGUGAUCAUAGUAAAGUCACUGGCAGUGUGUUGAGAUCUUGGAAACCAUGAAUCUAUUGUACAGUGUAAUUGUACAGCUAUUAAUCACAGUUGGUCAUACUUUCUGUUUUCAUGAAUUUUGUUUGGACAAAGGAACAGAAUAUUAAGGGUCUAAUCCUGUACUUCAGUUACACCAGCUGAGGGGUUCUACUGGAUGUGAUGACAAUCCCCCUAGACUGGCAGAACAUGAGAUAUGCCACAGCCAUGUAAGAUCCUCUAAUAAAACUACACAGAUAUGCUGUACCAAUGGAAUAGCCAAAAUCACUUAGAUCAGCCUUCCUCAAUUUUGGACUACAGCUCCUAUCAGCCUAGGAAGCACAGCUGAGCGGGUUGUGGAAUAAAGGGCAAGACUUUAAAGCAAAAUUAAUGUUUUCAGAUGGUGAGGAAGGUUAGGGCAUGUUUUUAAAGAGGAGAACCACAAUUUUUUUCAAGGAUUUCUAUGCCUCCUUUCAAAACAAAGUUUCCCCAGAGUGACAUAUAGUCAUUAUAAAAAGACCUUAAAAUAAGAUAAUUGUCUAAAAUAUUAAAACUAAGAGGGCAGUAUAAAAUACUUCAAACUAGAAGGAAAGAUGCAUCAUUAAGCCUGAACUGAUUUAUUAUCAUUGGCUUGAGGGAAUAGCUAACACACCAUUAACAAAUCGUAUAAAAAUAUCUGCACAAUUGUCAGAUACUGAUAAAAUGUCUGGUAGGAAAGGUAUGACUUGAGUUCAACUGGAGAGAAUAUUCAAUAUACAUUUACAGAGAAAAAGUUGGCUCCCUAAAGGGUGGAAAGGGGUAAUUGUGGCCUUUUCAACUGUUAGAAAAAGGCUACAAAAUCAAUAUAUACUACACAGUGGUGACCACAGGAAGGUGUCUAUAUCUGAAUUGCCACAUUUCUUGAUAAUGUGGAAAAGUGAUGAAAUUGCUUUUUUUCUCUCUCAGAAAGCCAGCCAAAAAUGUCAGCUGCCUGUGGGCGCAUCCAUAUUCUCACAUGAGUAAAGGAAUUUAUUCAAACAAGAGACUUCCUAUUGUGUUUGGAAAUUUAUUCGUCAACCACCAAGUCACAGAAGUGAAUUAGUACUGAAUGAUUCAAAGAACCAAUUAAGUAGCUGGCAUAAAUGCUUCUCAGUUAAACUACCAGAACUUACAAGUACAGUGUUCAGGGAAUGAGUUCAAAAUCUAGAUGUUGCAGUCUUUUUGUUAACUCUACUUGCUCAAGCCACCAGUUUGAAAGCCAAAUUGGGACCUAGGACCCCAAUUUUAAUAUUUGGGUAAAUGCUUCAUUGCUCACAUGCCUGAGAUGUAAACUACACACUUUAUUUGCAAAUGAAAGAAAAAAGAGGAACGUUAACAAGUCAAACAUAAGCAACAGUACUCCACAACUCAUAAAGCAAGGAUGGGGGCCCUGUGGUCCUCCAGAUGUGAUUGGACUCAAACUUCCAUCUGCCCCAGCCACCAUGGCCAAGACCAGAAUGAUGGGAGUUGUAGUCCAUCAUCUAGAGAGGCUCGGUUCCCUAUCCUUAAAGGUUAGGUGUACAGUUGGGACUAUCUGUUUCUGAACCCUACAUACAUGGGAUUUAUAAUGGUGCAGUUGCAUCAGGGCCCGUGUCUCCAUGAGUGCCCAGCAGUAGUUUAGUGGCAAAUGCAGAAAUACAGGAUCCCUUCAUGAGUCACAGCAUGCUCUCUCCCCCCUUUUUUACAGCUCAGUUGAGAAUGAGUAUGCACAGUAUAUAACUUGCUAUUUCACUUUUGUGCACUUCCUGAUGAUAUGACAUGGACCAAUGCACUUACAGGGAAGGAGUGACAGGUGGAGCUUAGUAAAAAAUCAAUAUGACUUAAAAAUUCCACACCCACCCAUAUGAAUGCGUAAAGUCUUGAAUUUUUAAUAUGGCAAACCAAUAACAAACAAUUCAGAUGUGGACUCUCAAAUGACAAAUCAAAUACUGAAAAUGUGGAUUUCCAUGGUAGGUAUGGAUGGGCCCUAAGUGAUUUCUGUGGGAUAAAGCAGCCUGGCUGCUCCUGACCGUCAUGUGGGCAAAUGAGUUGAUCGCUCUUCCUGAACUCUUAAAAUCUGUUAUGCACAGCCUUCAAAAGAUUUACUUUAUGAAGUGUUUCUAAACAAUGUCUCCCAGCUGCCUUGCAAAAGCAUUCAAUGGCCUCAAACAUCAUAGUUUGGUGUAGCAUGUGGCUUUGCUGUUGGGGGUGGGGUGCUUUGCUCUAAAGCUAACUUUCCCAGCAUCCCUUUGAAGGUCAGACACUUCGGAAAUCCACUCAAAGCUGUAUUGGUCAAGACUAGAGAUAAGAGGGGGAGGAUCUUGGUCUGUCUCCCAAGAAAAUGGACAAGAAGUCCUCCUCUCAAAUAUUUAUUUCAUCCCUCCAGUUCUUCCUUAUCAUUCCAGAAUAAAUGUGACAACAACAGGCCUAAAUGGCAUUCUUCCAAGUCAAAAUGCAGCUCCAUACAGUGUCCACACUCUGGUAACAAACCCUUCUUUUCCUCAUGGUUCCCUUCCCCUCCUCCCCAAUAAUCAGGGGAUACAAAAUUUUCAGGACCUAAAAAGAUUGAACAAAUUUGUUACAAAUAAGUCCUUGAGGGCUGAGAUGCUUCAGUCCAACCUGACAAGCCUGAACCAGAGAGAUUUCUUGGCAUCCAUGGCCUUCACAUUCACCCUUGUCAUUGCCACUUUCUGAGAUUCAGCUGCAAGAACAACCAAUUCCAAUUUGAAGCUAUCUUUGGUAUUUGAAGUACUAUUCAGUAUCUUCUUCAGCCUCUGAAGAUUCUCAUAGCCCUGGUUGCUCAUCUACGCUUACUUAGAUGAUCUUUUAUCAGCAUUCCCUCCUCCAGCUAAGGAAUUGUGACACACCCUUCUUCAGCUAGGAUGUCUUUGCAUUCUAGUCAUCAAUACAUCUGGCAUCUGGGAGUUCCCCUCAAUACAAGCCCGAACAGUUUUUCUCUCUCAGAAGAGAGGAUUUUAACCUCAUCAAAAGGGGUUCAUCUGCAAUAUGUUAUCAAACUGCUAGGCAAGAUUAUUUCCAUCACGUGGAUUAUUAUCUCCCAUGGUUUUGUCUUUAUUCUAGACCUCUUCAAACCUUUAUGCUACCCUUCCAAGACCAAGGACUAUAUAUGUAAAGCAUUAUCAUACAACUUUAAACAACCAUGGGAAUUGUAGUUUGUUAAGGGUGCUAAGAGUUGUUAGGAGGCCACCAUUCCCCUCAGAGAGCUACAAUUCCCAGAAUUCUUUGGGAAGAGGGAUUAACUGUUAAACCAUUCUGGGAAUUGUCUUAAGCCUUUAACAAACUGCCUGGAGGUUGAACGGUAGGGUCUUCUAACCCCGGGUUGCCCUUCCAGAGUAAUUUCUACUCUUUUAUUCCCAUGCAAAUCUUCAACCAUUUGGGUACCAACAAUAUCCCUGGAGAGCCUUUUUAAAAUGCUGUGACAAGUCAGACACAACAGUCCUUGGAGCCUCAGUAAAAGAUGAUCUGCUACUCCCGGUCUUCAACUAAACUUAUUGAGAAGCCAGGUUUCUGCUCUUUCUGGCAUAACCAUUAAGUUCUGAAGGAUGCCCGGUUUCUUCCCACCCCCUAAUACCUGCAAAUUUCUUAUCUGAUAUCUCCACCUCCUGUUCAUUGUAUGCCUUCUU